CCGGCGGCCAUCUUACCUCAGGCAGGCUUUCUGUUGUAGUCUGUGGUACCUAAUGUAAGGUUAUAUAAUGUGUAAGGAGGAGGAGAAGAUCUUCCAUCCCCGUUUGCUGACCUUCCUGCACUAGUACAUGACCACAGCUACCUUCCUGUCCGCUUUGAUGGCCUUGUGGACAACGCUCUCUUGUACAUUACACAGAAGCUCAAUAAAACCUUCCUUUUCAAAGGG